CAUCGUUCAACUCACUUCAUCUCAUCACCUAGGCGUUUAUCAUCUCACAUCAUCACAGGAAGAAAGGCUCCAAAAUGUGUCUCACCUCCUCCAUGGCAGUAAGGAUGAAACGUUUUACAUAUGGAAAAAUAUCCAUAGCUCUCUUCCAAUUCGACUUCACAGCAGAAGAAUGGGCU